ACAUUGGUAGCUCAGUGGUAGAAUUCUUGCCUUUCAUACAGGAGACCUGGGUUUGAUUCCUGGACAAUGCA
rnacentral:tRNA from 1 species